rnacentral:rRNA from 1 species
UACGUAGGUGGCAAGCGUUGUCCGGAUUUACUGGGCGUAAAGAGCGCGCAGGCGGUCGUUCAAGUCGCGUGUGAAAGCCCCCGGCUCAACUGGGGAGGGUCACGCGAUACUGAUCGACUCGAAGGCAGGAGAGGGUAGUGGAAUUCUCGGUGUAGCAGUGAAAUGCGUAGAUAUCGAGAGGAACACCAGUGGCGAAGGCGAGUCCCUGGACAGGUCCUGACGCUGAGGCACGGAAGCUAGGGGAGCAAACAGG